UAUCGAAUAUGUCAUGUUUAAAAAUAUGAAGAAACGAAACAAAAAUGUCGACAGAAAAAUAUUUUAAUUUUGUACAGAAAAGACCACGAAAAUACGUAAUUCGAACGGAAUAAUUAUAACUCCUUUCCCAAGUUUUACAAAGUGAUACACAUGUUUUGUUAAGUUUCAUAACAAAGUGAAACAUUCCCAUGGUGUUCUCUUGAAUAGUAACUAUACGCAGGCGUACUGAGAAUUGCAUUUUACUUGUGACGUCGCCUGAAGUAUUGAACGCAUUCGAGCUGCAGUAACGAGGAGUUCAUAAUCUUAAGGAGUUGGUGUGUGUAGAGUAUUUCUUUUUCUGAUUCACAAGUUUCAUGAAAAAUAACGUCACUGUAUUUAAUUAAUUCAAUAAAUGAAGUGUCAAGUUCUAUAAUAUUUUUAAUGGUUAUUGCCCCGCGGCUUCGCCCGCAUUUGACAACCAAACCAUCGUUAAUUCGUUAAAUAUUUGGAAUUGAAUGAACAUGCUUGCUGUUAUUUGUGGUUGCUCCAGACCUCAUUCUGCUAUUGUUAACGCGUGAUUUUGCAGCUCUCCGGUUGUCUUGCCUCUAUCUCCUUGCGUCAAAAGAAUACUGUAAACUGCGUAUUUAUCAAUAGUUAUUGUUGCAUGGGUGGGAUGCAAGGAAUUGUGACAACUGAGAGUUACCAACAACAAGCUUCUGGUGUUUCGCGAAUCCUUUGGUCGCGUGAUGCAGGUUUGGGUAGUGCGCUGAGUCGUUUUCUAACACCACUGCAGGCCGGGCAUGGGUCGUCUGACUCCUGUGUUGUCCCGAGAUUAAAUGUCACGGUAAUGGUAAUUGAUUCGCACUCCGUUGAAUCAUGGGACGGAAAAAGUUGUUGAAAUUGAAAUUGAAAAAUAGCGAAUUUCUUUUAAAUAAUUAACAGUGAACGUUGAUGGCAUCCAUAGAAUAUUUUAAAAUCAUUAAAUUAACGACACUCCAUGGUAAACGUUGAUGAUAAUAAUAAUCUUAAGAUGUAGUGGACAUAUUGGCUUUUAAAAAAAUGUGUUCAUGGAGGAUUCAACAGGUACCAGCCAUGUAGCACGCGAGUGAACCCCCCAGGUGUACCAGGAUAGCAUAACAGGCAGAGAAUUAAACAGUGACGCGAAACACGACCGAAAACAAAACAUAACUCCCAGAACACAUAAUUGUUGUUAUUGAAUGUUGUUGUAAGCAAUUUAUUUAUUCAUAAAUACUAUCGUUAGUUGAUAUAUAACCGAAUUUUUUUAAACUACAGUUGUGGAUCAUAAGUUAUAGCGUAUUCAACGUUGAACUCAUUCAUAAAUUUCAUCCAAUGGAUGUUCUUGAAAGGAACGCAUGCGUAGUGCAGAUAUUGUUUUUAAACUUGGCGUGGCAUCGAGUAUUGACCGCAUCAGAGCUGCAUGUUACAAGGAGUUCAUAAUCUUAAGAAGUCAGUUACAGAGACUACACUGUACAAUAAUAGUAGUAGUAGACGCUAAAAUUAAUUCAUUAUUAGUAAUGCGGAGCCCUCAAAGCGAAAUUUCAAAAAACUACUUUUUUCGCAUUUUGUUUUAGUAACUGGUGGAAAUAGUAUUAUAUUCACGACAAUAAAUAGUUCGUGUAGAGCAGUUCCAACGCCUAACUUGACACAUUUCACAACCGACAAGUGACAUACAUAUUAAGUGAUAGGGUAGACGCACAUAAUUAGUAGUAAAUUUCAAUCCCACGUUCCCGUGCAUGAAAAUAUUUUUUUAGUGAAGAGCACAGAUAACGUUGGGUACUCAUUAAUAUGUGUAGAAGUUUUACUUUGGAGAUUAAAAUUUUUGAGCCGCUAUUUAUACCCUUAUCGGAAAAUUCAAAAAAAUGGGUCUGGGAUCACGUCUUAAUUAACUUAUAAUAAAAUUGGUCCCUAAACGACAUUAUUUUGCCAGUCUAUAUAUAUUUUGAGAAUCAUGUAUUUCAUAGCACGAUGUAAUUUGCUUGUGGCGCCAUCUAUUGAGCAUAAUAUAAAGCAGGAAAGGGAUGAAUUCUCAAGUAAUAUUUUCUGCAGUUGUGGGAAAGAGCCUACAUGAAUUUUAGUUUGUUCAAAAAAACAAUCUAUUCAAGCGUUUGUUUUAUUUCUGAAUGCCACAUUUUCAGGAGGUCUAGCUUUUAAAAGAUAUAGCCGACAUAUUGUCGCACACUGACUGCGAUCUUCAUAUUUUUUUUAAAAACGCGAGACGACCAUGCCUUUUUCAGCUUAUGAAUUCUGUCCUGCAUUCAUUUGAGGCAAUCGAAUAGUUUUGUGCAAAUGGCACUAAGCGGCAUUCUUCCUUGUGUUAUGUUUAGACACACCUACAUACUUAUUAAAUUGUAAUAAUAGUGUGUUUAUAACAAUGGCUUAUAAUAAAUAACAUUUUUCUUAAAGUAGAAACCUUCUCGAGAUACUUUUAAAUUUUAAAAAGUUAUUUUAAAUCGAGACAUCAAAAGCACUCACUGUUUGUUUUUAACUUGCCGAAAAUGGAACGCAACAGGUCUCACCACGUGGGUAAAAUCCGUUAGGAUAUACCAGGAUCGUAUACCAUGUAAAGAGGUUCUUUAGAACAUUUAAUGCGUGUGGUGCAUCUUACAUCAAUGGGAAGCGUUUCGCAGUAUUGGUUAUAAUUAUUUUUUAACGAUAUUCUCUGAAAAGUUAGCACCGGGACUUGAAGGAAACUGAGUAAUAUUUUAUGUACCGAAUUAAUUAAUUUGCUUGCGGAUGGGAUUUCUGACGAUUCGCGCCUUGAUAGCUGUGAUAAUAGCUGGAGUUCUAAGGGAACGAGGUCGACCGUUUCUUUCUCUUCCUCCUUCCUUCCUCUCAUCGACACUGGAUUCUUCAUCAUAGCUUUUGAUGGUAUGGUACGCAAACCUCAGCGUGAUAUUUAGAUUUCUCAGCAAGAUAUAAUGCAAUUACUGCUACGCGAUCGUCUUUAAGCGUUCACUACAAUUUUGGAAAAUGAAUAAAACAAAUCUAUUUGAUAAACAUUUGAUAAUCCACGACGUUACA